rnacentral:misc_RNA from 1 species
UAAUAAGUGUUUUAUGGCACUUUUUAAAUCCAUAUCCACCUUGUGUGCAAUGUCGGUCGAUCUUCUUCAUGGAGAUCGACCAAACAUCAACCUUUAUCUUUUAACUCUUUGUCUGAAAAAUAUUAUGAAUAGACAAUUCAAAAUA